rnacentral:rRNA from 1 species
UACGUAGGGUGCGAGCGUUGUCCGGAAUUACUGGGCGUAAAGAGCUCGUAGGUGGUUUGUCGCGUUGUUCGUGAAAACUCACAGCUCAACUGUGGGCGUGCGGGCGAUACGGGCAGACUGGAGUACUGCAGGGGAGACUGGAAUUCCUGGUGUAGCGGUGGAAUGCGCAGAUAUCAGGAGGAACACCAACAGCGAAGGCAGCACUCUGGGCCGGUACUGACGCUGAGGAGCGAAAGCAUGGGGAGCGAACAGG